CCAACGACCAAAGCAAAGGACAGCAUAACUGAAUGACACAUUGCUCAGAAAAUAUCCAAAGCUCUGUACGCUCUGGAAAGGAAGGCAAGAAUUGCUAAAGACUCUGGAUAUUGCUCUGUUUCUAUAAGGUCCCACCCAUAUACCAUCUCUUCUUUUGGAUUUCCUUUGGCAGGGUUCCCUUGUAUGGAAGUUCUCGGGAGAACAACACUCUCAGAGUCCCAUUGUCUCAAAGAAUUCUUAAUGGACAGCUAUACUUGGCCCCAAGGUUCCAACCUCACAUUGAAGAAAGUGACAUAAGAAAACACAAGUCCCAGCGCUAUCAGGGGCUAUCUGGAAAAGCUGCUUAAACGGCAAGUGAAAGAAGGCUCUCCCCUACCCCGUUCUAGAUGGAGUCUUGCUCUGUCACCCAGGCUGGAGUGCAAUGGCACGAUCUCAGCUCACUGCAACCUCCGCCUCCCAGGUUGAAGCAAUUCUCCUGCCUCAGCCUCCUGAGUAGCUGGGAUUACAGACUCACCCUGAAGUUAUUUGAAGGAUCCUUGAAACUCUUUUGGAUUGCUGCUUGGAGAACAUUCCUGUAACUUGUUCCUGCUCCUUGAACUAUAAAAGCAGAAGGGAAUUACUGAGUUAAAACUUAUAAAUUAUUAUCAAAUAAAUCUUCAACAGUGGUUCAGU
rnacentral:antisense_RNA from 1 species